ACGGAGGGUCCAAGCGUUAUCCGGAAUUAUUGGGUUUAAAGGGUCCGCAGGCGGAAUUAUAAGUCAGUGGUGAAAUCUCGAUGCUCAACAUCGAAACUGCCAUUGAUACUGUAGUUCUUGAAUAUAGUCGGAGUAGGCGGAAUGUGUAGUGUAGCGGUGAAAUGCUUAGAUAUUACACAGAACACCGAUAGCGAAGGCAGCUUACUAGGUUAUAAUUGACGCUCAUGGACGAAAGCGUGGGUAGCGAACAGG
rnacentral:rRNA from 1 species